rnacentral:rRNA from 1 species
AUACGUAGGGGGCGAGCGUUGUCCGGAAUGAUUGGGCGUAAAGGGCGCGUAGGCGGCCCGGUAAGUCUGGAGUGAAAGUCCUGCUUUUAAGGUGGGAAUUGCUUUGGAUACUGUCGGGCUUGAGUGCAGGAGAGGUAAGUGGAAUUCCCAGUGUAGCGGUGAAAUGCGUAGAGAUUGGGAGGAGCACCAGUGGCGAAGGCGACUUACUGGACUGUAACUGACGCUGAGGCGCGAAAGUGUGGGGAGCAAACAGGAUUAGAUACCCUGGUAGUCCACACUGUAAACGAUGAAUGCUAGGUGUAGGGGGUAUCGACCCCUUCUGUGCCGCAGUUAACACAAUAAGUAUUCCGCCUGGGGAGUACGGCCGCAAGGUUGAAACUCAAAUGAAUUGACGGGG